ACAAUAGCAAGACGGAGAAUGGAGGUGCGAGAAGCGCUGAUAACUCUGAGAUUUUAAUGAGAUGGGGUCAGAUGGAGGGGAGGAACUUGAUGCUGAGAUCGACUCAGAUGACCAAUAGAGGAAUCGUUCAUUACAUUCUGAUUCUAACUGCGAUUCUGAUUAGGAGCCUGAGCUGCCUCGGCGCAAGAGAACCCAAAUUAUGCCCACUGUGCAGGCGUCAAUAACAGACGUUGCCUGCUGACAAUGCUCCGAGUAGAUUAUCAGCACAUAAUGGAAUCCCAGUGUAGUCAAGCCCUCACUUUACGCAAAAGACUAAAUCGACAGAGCAUUCGACAGCUUUCAUUGUUUAUGUAACAUGGAGAUGUUGCAGCACAUCAAGGACUGUACUGUAGCUGAGGCGCGCCAGGCGAGAGGAGACAACACGUGGGACAUGUCUGUGGAUGAGCUGGAAGCGUUCAUUGCGCUCCUGUAUGUCCGAGGACUGUACGGAGGAAAGAACACGAGUUUGGAGAGCCUCUGGUCAGACAGGUAUGGGAUCACUUUCUUCCGAGAUACCUUGCCAUGGAACCGCUUCAGAAAGAUCAUGCGAUACCUGCGUUUUGAUGCAAGAGAGACCAGACGCAUGCGCCUGGAUACUGACAAAUUGAGAAUCAGAAGUUUGGGACGCGUUUGUACAGAGAUGUGUUACCUCUUACAAGCCAGGAGUGAACAUCACCGUUGUGGAGCAAUGGAACCAUACCUCCGUGAGGGGAGAAAUGUCAAAAUGGACGAUGUCUUCACCUCACUGCCAUUGGUUAACAAGUUGAUUGACAAGAACACAAACCUGGUCGGGGCGGUGAAUAAGACGAGACUGGAGCUGCCUCCAUCUGCAUGUAACCAGUCACAAGCAGAGCUGUUCUUCACAACAGUGCAGAAGCACGACAAAGCAACACUUACGGUUUACAGAAAGAAGCCUAGAAAAAACGUCUAUCCUGAGCACUAAGCAUCUGACAGUUGCCAUUGACACAAAGAGAAAACCAGAGACCCUGGCGCACUAUAACAGAAGAAAUGUUGGUGUGGAUAAGAUGGCCAGACAGUUCACGGUGAAAGGGGGUACUCGCCGCUGGCCUGUUGCAGUAUUCUACAACCUGUUUGACCUGGCUACUAUCAACGUGCACGUUUUGUUCACCCAGUGCACCGGUAAGACAACGCCGAGGAGAGAUUUCGUAAUGGAUCUGGCAUUGGAGCUUCGUGAGAAUCACACGAGAGCCAAGACGAAUGCAGCUGCAGCCGCCAAGGAGGCAGCCAAGGCCGCACCGCCUCCAUCCCGGGCACCCAUCCAGCUCCCUAAUUGGAAGAGAACACAGUGCCAGGUGAAGCCGCAGUGUGCACGGAACCAGGCCCAUGAAAGCUGUGCACAGUGCCACCGAUUUGUUUGUGGGUCUUGCACCCACAAAUGUUCGAAGCUGUGCGCUGACUGUGGAUCAGAGCAGGAGAGGAGGAAGAGACUGAUUAAUGCAUGAAAGGCAUCCCACUGAAGGCGAGAGCACAAUACCGUGUUCAACCCCAAUCUAAUGAACAAAUUACUUGUGUUUGGCCUGGUAUGGUUCUCAAUCAGAGGCAGCUGUCAAUCGUUAUCCCUGAUUGAGAACCAUAUUUAGGUAGCCUGGUUUCACUUUUGAGUUGUGGGUGAUUGUUUCCUGUGUUUGUACCAUACGGGACUGGUUCGAUUUUCGUUUGGUCAGUCACGUUGUUAUUUUGUAUUUUUGUAGUGUUCAGUUUUAUAUAUUAAAAUGGACACUUACCACGCUG